UACGUAGGUCCCGAGCGUUGUCCGGAUUUAUUGGGCGUAAAGCGAGCGCAGGUGGUUUAUUAAGUCUGGUGUAAAAGGCAGUAGCUCAACCAUUGUAUGCAUUGGAAACUGGUAGACUUGAGUGCAGGAGAGGAGAGUGGAAUUCCAUGUGUAGCGGUGAAAUGCGUAGAUAUAUGGAGGAACACCGGUGGCAAAAACGGCUCUCUGGCCUGUAACUGACACUGAGGCUCGAAAGCGUGGGGAGCAAACAGG
rnacentral:rRNA from 1 species